GGGGCCUCUGGAGGGGGGGGCAGGGCGUCAGGUGGGGGUGCUACCCGGGUUCGAGAAUGAUACCCUUUACAAGGAUGCGAGACUGAAACGUGGCUUAAAAACAAAAAGAGAAAUCUAUCCAUUUGGAAGGUAAUGUUGGCUCUGGCCAGCAGGGCCGCAUAGGGGGAAGCCGGCCUCCGAGGUGAACCAGCCGGGAGGAAAAGCGGAAAGUGCCUCAGGUGGGGGAUUUGUUAUCUUCACCAGAGAGGCCGGGACUCUGGAGCGAGGGGGCGGGGCCGGGGCGGGGCGGGGACUGAGGGACCGGGCGCUUCUUCGUCCUUCCCAAACCGCCGGGACAAUCCCUGGAGGCUCCUCCAGGUCAGUGUUUGGGGUUGGGAGUCACUGAGGAGGGAGGGAGCAAAGGAACUUCCGUGAUAACAGUUGGCCUGACUUUCCGGGGGUUCAGUGCGCAUGCCAGGGAGAGCGGGCGGUAUUUCCGCAGGGCACGGACACCCCCUCUGCCCCCUGACAGGCUCCCUUGGGCUGCUUCUCCCCUCGGGUGUUCUGACCAGAACCUCCCCUUUAGGAAAGAGCUGGGCCAGCCCCGCCCCCAUCCUGUGACUGAACCCCUCCCCCAGCUGCCUCCAGGUUCCCGUGGGCGUGCGGCCCUGGGGGUGGGGGCGGGGGGGAUCAAAGUCCUGCCCAGGCUGAAGACAACCGACCCGGCCAGACCGUGCUCUUCCGUGUUUGUCCCUUUUUCUGCGCUCCUUUAAAGUGAUGGAUAGACACGGAGGCACAGAAAGUACUUACAAGUGGCUCCUGCCCCGCCUUUCUCGGCGAACAUGCGCACAAGAGAAGCCCCGCCCCCCAGCUCAAUUUGGUGGAAUGGGUUACUGGGGUCUUUCCGCUGCCCAAAAGUUAAGGGGUAAAAAGUCUCAGCUGAUAAAGCAGGGAGCCAGGUUCGCACCUGAGCAUGGACACCCUCCCCUCCCCCUCUCACCCAGCAAAGGUCUUAAAAGCACAGGUGUGAGACUUCCAGGAGCUGACUGUCCACAGGACAUUCUCUGCAUCCCUUGAAGCUGCCCCAGUGGGGAGGAGCCAGACUAGGGAGACUUCAGAAAAGAGCAUUCUGGGAAAUGGAGUCUUCUAUGAAAAGGGAUAAGACCUGCAUGAUGUUCUGACAGGCAUUCUGGGAAAUAUAGUUCUCCUGCCUGGGUCCCUGGGUUAAGCCUCCUGGUGGGGGAGGGGUCAUAUAGGAAAUGUUCCCCAGCUGGGAGGCUGCAGCCUUCUCCCCUCCCCCCAGUUCCCCUCCAGCCCUGCCCUGUGGCUGCUUCUUUCCACUGGAGGCUGCCUCAGGCUAGAGCCUGGCACACAGCAGGUGCCUAAUAAGUGUCUAUUGACUGAUCAGGUAAUGGAUCCAUCCUCCCCCAGGACCUGAGGAGGGGUGCCAGGAUCCCCCUUCUGACAGAGAAGGAAACUGAGGCACAGGGCAGCAGCUGACCCUCCAGGCCCAGGCCCCCCCUCCUACAGCUUCCCCUCAUCCAGGGAUCUCUCUGAAAGUCCUGCUGCUCCUUCUGCCCCCAAAGAAGGGGCCAACCCUUUCCCCAGAGGAGGCAUCAGGUGACUCUGGGGCUGCCCUCCUGGGCCUGGAACCCCCAAGAUCUGGGCUCAAAUCUGGCCUCAGACACGGCCUGGCUGGGGGAGCCUGGCCAAGGCCCUUCCCAGCCUUUGCCUCAGUUUCCCCCAUGGUAAGAUUAGCCAAUAAGGGCCUGAGCGGAGGCUGUGGGGAAGCUGGUCCAGAGAGGGUCUGGGGGGAAACAGAGCUGCUUCCUCGGGGUCUCCUGGGCCUCUGGGCCAGCUGAGGAGGGUCUCCUUCAGCAUCACCCCAGCCCAGGGGCCCAGGAGACCCUUCAGAGGCCUGGGGGAGGCCCAGGAACCCCUCGUGCCCUGGAGGAGGCCACAGAAAGCAGCAGCCUCCGCUGAGCACAGGCUCAGAGCCCUGAUGGACAGAGGACAGUCUGGGGGUGUCUGUGUGUCUGUCUGCUGGGCUCAGGCUAUUCAGGCCUGUCUGAUUCUCUUCCCACCCCUGCCCCCCCUUUGGGGCUUUCUGGGCAGAGGCUGGGUGGCUUCACCAUGUCCUUCUGUAGCCAAUUUGACAGGGGAGGAAACUGAGGCAAGCAGUCCAAAGUGACUUGUGCAGGGUCCCUCAGUAAGUAAUCUCAGGCCUCCCUGACUCCAGGCCCUGAGCUCUGGCAGGCUCCAGCUUCCUGGGCUGGGGAGGAAGGAGGGGGCUCAGAGCAAGGACUGACCCUCCCAUCCUCAGGGACUGCAGCAGAGCAGGAGGGGGUCUGGGGCCUUGUCGGCUCCCUGGGAGAAGAAAGGGGGCAUCUGGGAGGAAGAGGAAGGUAAGAUAAUGGGUCCAUGAAGGGAUGCAGACACAGGGAGGUGCAGGAGAGAAGCAGACUGGGCCAAGGCGUCUCUGAGCAACGUCUGCCUCCAUUGGGUGGUCAGGAAAGGAGGCCGAAGUCUGCAGAGGCCCCCCUUGGCUCUGAGGCCCCGUCAUGGGCCCUGGCAGGUUUUUAGAGGCCCUGAGAGGAGAUUGGGGGGACUCCAGGGCACUCUCUUGAGGGGAGGAAUAGGAGCUUCUGGAUCAGGACUGCUCUGAACUCUACUGAUCCGGCUUCUUUAUGGGUCAGUCUUGACCUCGUCCAUCCCCCUGAGGACCCCCCUGUUCCCCCUGAUUUUUGAGGGGACUCUCUGGCCUCUGCAGCCUCUUCCAGGGAUGAGGGUGACAGAAAGAGCAGGAUAAAUGGGUUCACAGCCUCAGGAGAGCCUCUCAGGGAACAGGCUGGGUCCAGGCUCUUCCCUGCUUCAUGCACAGCCUCGUGUCGGGGUCUUGAUUCCUCCUGCGAACCCCACAGCCGCCCAGUGAAGAAGUUCAGCCUCUCCAAAAACUCCUGCAUGAAUUCCGUCACCCAGGAGGGAAGCCAAAGCCUGGAAAGCAAUGUGGAAGGAGUUUGAGGAUGAGGGAAGGAGACACACAGAAAUUACAGAGGGGAGACCCAGAAGUCUGCAGGGGUGUCUGCCAGCACGUCCCUGAGGAGUUCAUUCUACCUUUCUAGCAUCGGGGGGCUUUGGGGGAUCCCUGGAACCAAGGAAGCAGCAGAGGCUUUUAGGGGGAGCCUUGCAGGUCCAAGAGGAGCUUUGGACAGCCCACCUGCCGCCGCAGCGUCAUUUCUCUGAAAGUACAAUUUCUAUGGCCGAAGCAAUGGAAAGAUUGGAAUUCAUCAGCGCUGUGAAACGUUGGCUGCGGGUCCAGAGAAGCCUGAUCCAGGCACACUUUGCUCAGGAGAACCAGCUUAUGAAUAUGUCACCCUGUGCUCUGGGGGACCCCCAAAUGGGUGUUUAUUUGGCACCCCAAGUUUGCCCUUUGGGGCCCCAAGAGUUUGCCUCUGGGGGGGUCCCAGAUUCUGCCAGCCUCAGACUGAACAAUAAAGUCAUCGAUAACGCUGGCUUAGGUGGAGCUGGCAGGCCUAAGCAUCCGCUCAGUGCCUUCUGUCCCAGGAGUUUCUCCUACGGCGACCAAGGCCUUGCCCUCAUCUGGACGGUUCCCUUUUAGAGUCCUCUGGAAGUAGAGCCCUGCCCGUCCCGCGGCCUCUGGCUCUGGUUCCCUCCCCCAGCCCCGGUUACACCUGCCGGGGCCCUUUGAACACCCCCAUUUCCUCGUGGCCCUGGAAUGUCCGUCAGCCCUCUUUCCCUGCCCCUCAGUUCCCCCAAUGCUUUGGUGCUUUGGACUUGCCCAUCUAGCAUGGUCGGCGCUCCCGGGCCAGAUCUCAGGGCCCGUGUGGAGGCCUUGAGGAAAGCACUGACUGUUUUAUAGUUCUGUGUUUUACAGUUCAACAAAUACAUCUUCAUUAUAAUGGAAACCCUU